rnacentral:rRNA from 1 species
AUUGAACGCUGGCGGCAGGCUUAACACAUGCAAGUCGAGCGGGGUGAUGGUGCUUGCACUAUCACUUAGCGGCGGACGGGUGAGUAAUGCUUAGGAAUCUGCCUAUUAGUGGGGGACAACAUCUCGAAAGGGAUGCUAAUACCGCAUACGUCCUACGGGAGAAAGCAGGGGAUCACUUGUGACCUUGCGCUAAUAGAUGAGCCUAAGUCGGAUUAGCUAGUUGGUGGGGUAAAGGCCUACCAAGGCGACGAUGUGUAGCGGGUCUGAGAGGAUGAUCCGCCACACUGAGACUGAGACACGGCCCGAACUCCUACGGGAGGCAGCAGUGGGGAAUAUUGGACAAUGGGGGGAACCCUGAUCCAGCCAUGCCGCGUGUGUGAAGAAGGCCUUAUGGUUGUAAAGCACUUUAAGCGAGGAGGAGGCUCUUUUGGUUAAUACCCAAGAUGAGUGGACGUUACUCGCAGAAUAAGCACCGGCUAACUCUGUGCCAGCCGCCGCCGUAA